GGAGGGGUUGGGGAGCGGUCAAACCCAACAGAUUGUAAAUCUGUCGCCUCGGCUUCGAAGGUUCGAAUCCUUCCCCCUCCACCA
rnacentral:tRNA from 1 species